CACUUUCGAUGGUAGGAUAGAUCAACUUUGGAUGGUGACGGGUGAUGGAGAAUCAACUUUCGAUUCCGGAGAGGGAGCCUGAUAGACGGCUCAACUUUCAAGGAUGGUAGGAUACGAGCAACUUACCCAAUCCUGACAUGGUAGGAUAGUGACAUCAACUUUCGAUGGUAGGAUAAUCAACUUUCGUAAUUGGUAGGAGUACAAUCUACUUCCCUUAACGAGGAUCCAUUGGAGGGCAAUUUUGGUGCCAGCAGCCGCGGUAAUUCCAGCUCCAAUAGCGUAUAUUUAAGUUGUUGCAGUUAAAAAGCUCGUAGUUGAACUUCGGAAUUUAUUCAUUGGUCAGACUUAACUGUCUGUACUGGUGUUAUGAAUUUCUACCUUCUGAGGAAUUAUCAUGCCAUUUAGUUGGUGUGGUAGGGAAUCAGGACUGUUACUUUGAAAAAAUUAGAGUGUUUAAAGCAGGCAAGCGCUUGAAUACAUUAGCAUGGAAUAAUGAAAUAGGACGUUUGAUCUUAUUUUGUUGGUUUCUAAGAUUGACGUAAUGAUUAAUAGGGAUAGUUGGGGGCAUUAGUAUUCAAUUGUCAGAGGUGAAAUUCUUGGAUUUAUUGAAGACUAACUACUGCGAAAGCAUUUGCCAAGGAUGUUUUCAUUAAUCAAGAACGAAAGUUAGGGGAUCGAAGACGAUCAGAUACCGUCGUAGUCUUAACCAUAACACUAUGCCGACUAGAGGAUCGGACGAAGUUAAUUUUUAAAUGACUCGUUCGGCACCUUACGGGAGA
rnacentral:rRNA from 1 species